rnacentral:lncRNA from 1 species
GGAGGAUCAGAAUCAAGUCCUAUAGCAGACUCCUGCCACCUUAUGCUUGUCACCAACCCUUCUCCUCCAAAUCUGAUACACCAGACUUUCUGAGAACCUGUGCUUUAAUGAGUAAACUCACACAGCUGCAACAAAUGCUGCCACCUCCUGGCAUCUUUUAAAAAGGUCACAGUGUCCAUGUAACUAACUCCUGGUUAAGAGGAUAUGGAUAGAAGGCACAUGUUCAACUUCUGGCUUCUGUCCUUGAAAAGUGUGAUGAUUCCAUCCUUUGCUGUCUUCCUUCCCGCUGACUGGAAUGUGGACUUGGUAGUGAGCUACCUUGGACUAUGUGGAUGAAGACAAAGAUAAAAGGAACCAAGGACUCUGAUGAUUCUGUAGAGAAGAGGAACCGUAGCUGCUCAAACGUUCAUGUGAAAGAAGAAUAAACUAUCAGAUUUAAGCCACUGCUAUUUUGGGUCUUUGUGAUAAACAGUGUUUACCAUAUCCUAAUUCACUAUUCCUUCCAUUUCUAGGUCAACCAUGUUGAAUUAAAUAUAGUGCUCUAACUUGCA